rnacentral:lncRNA from 1 species
CUGCUUUGUUCCAAAGACUACAUCUCCCAGCUGCCCCGGCACGGCCGCCUCUUCUCUCCGGGAGCGUCCCUUGCACUUGCAGAUCAGCCGCGGCUGCAGCCCUGGCUCUGCGCACCCCAGUGGGCUCAGCCCCCGGGAUUCCCCGGGCCUGAGGACAAUGGAGUCGGUGGAGAAAUGGCACAAGGAUUACAUAGCCUUCAAGCUUCUGGACAAAAAAUAUAACUCAAAGAGGAAUGAGGUUACAGUCUCUUAGGGUACGUCCAGACUAUCCGCCAUAUUGGUGGGUAGCGAUCGAUUUAUCGGGGAUAUAUCGAUCCCCGAAUGCGCUCCCGUCGAUUCUGGAACUCCAUCAGAGCAAGGGGCAGUAGCAGAGUCGACGGGGGAGCCGCGGCCAUUGAUCCUGCGCUGUGAGGAUGGGAGGUAAGUCGAAAUAAGAUACAUCGACUUCCUGUAGCUGAAGUUGCGUAUCUUUCAUCGACACCCUCCCCCAGUGUAGACUAGGUCUAAGGAACAAAGUUAUGUGGAACUGUUGUGCAAAUUCUUAAGCAUGUGCUUAACUUUAAGUAUUUGAAGUCAACAGGAUUUGCCCGUAGUGAAGUGUACCACAUACAGAAGUGUUUGCAGAAUCCUGGCUUAAGAAUGCCCACGUAUGGGGUUUGCACCAGUUGAGCAAAAGUAGCAUAAGUUUGUGUGUAGACAAGGCCUUGCCUAUCCUAUUUAUAAGGGGUGUGCUGAGUAUUCACUGCUCUCACUGAAGCCAG